GACGAACGCUGGCGGCGUGCUUAACACAUGCAAGUCGAACGGAAAGGCCCUGCUUUUGUGGGGUGCUCGAGUGGCGAACGGGUGAGUAACACGUGAGUAACCUGCCCUUGACUUUGGGAUAACUUCAGGAAACUGGGGCUAAUACCGGAUAGGAGCUCCUGCUGCAUGGUGGGGGUUGGAAAGUUUCGGCGGUUGGGGAUGGACUCGCGGCUUAUCAGCUUGUUGGCGGGGUAGUGGCUUACCAAGGCUUUGACGGGUAGCCGGCCUGAGAGGGUGACCGGCCACAUUGGGACUGAGAUACGGCCCAGACUCCUAUGGGAGGCAGCAGUGGGGAAUAUUGCACAAUGGGCGGAAGCCUGAUGCAGCAACGCCGCGUGCGGGAUGACGGCCUUCGGGUUGUAAACCGCUUUCGCCUGUGACGAAGCGUGAGUGACGGUAAUGGGUAAAGAAGCACCGGCUAACUACGUG
rnacentral:rRNA from 1 species